AGAACCAGAAGAACAAUCUGCAACUCCAAGGACAAAGCCAAGAGAUGGAAGCCUAAACACCUUGAAAAAGAUUUUUGCAGCACCCCUAAGAUUGUCAAGUGCAGGUUAAAAGUCACCUAUUCUGACACCAGUUUUCCGAAAAGAAGUCCUUGAUGGUAGCUGCAAAUUGCCGCAGAAUGCAAUGAUAAGGCGUAGGAGUGCCUUAACACCCAGA